rnacentral:SRP_RNA from 2 species
UAGCAGGGAGGAUUGGGGUGCCAGCCGUGCCCCGUUCUGAAACCGGCUAUACGCAGAGAUCAGUAACUGCUGGGUAAAUCUCCAGAUGGGCGGUUCCCGCUUGGCGUGCGGAAAUGAAAUCACGCCGGGGCGGGUGGUUGCAAGGCUGGAACUGUUCGAAGGGACGGCUUCCAAGCCUGAGCCACCGAAAGGGACUAGGUCCGGGAGGGAGCAAUCCUAAGGUGGAGCUUCCACGCUUCCCCGUCAACGUGGCGGAUCUUGUACGCCUCGAGAUGGGGCCGCCUGUCUGGACUGGAGCCGGCAGGGCUGCUA